AGAAAUUCCAACCUGGGCCAAAGUCCUCCUGGUUUUACUGGUUAUCCUGGUUCUUACUGUUUCUUGCUGCCUUUUAUAUUAUUUUAUGUCAAGAAUUUCACCUAGGGUCAAAAUACUCCUGGUUUUCCUGGUUUUCCUUGUUGUUCUUUCAGUUUCUGGUGGCCUUUUAUAUCAUUUCCUACUGAAACUUAAGUCAGAAAUUCCAAAGUUGGCCAUCAGUACUUCCAUUCUCCUGGUUUAUCUUGCUAUGUCUGGAGGCUUUCUAUAUGAUGCCUUUCAACGGUAUAAGCUAG